GUUAUAUGGUCAAGUGAAGAAGCGCAUACGGUGGAUGCCUUGGCAGUCAGAGGCGAUGAAAGACGUGGUAGCCUGCGAAAAGCUUCGGGGAGUCGGCAAACAGACUUUGAUCCGGAGAUGUCUGAAUGGGGGAACCCAGCCAUCAUAAGAUGGUUAUCUUGUACUGAAUACAUAGGUGCAAGAGGCGAACCAGGGGAACUGAAACAUCUAAGUACCCUGAGGAAAAGAAAUCAACCGAGAUUCCCUUAGUAGUGGCGAGCGAACGGGGACUAGCCCUUAAGUGGCUUUGAGAUUAGCGGAACGCUCUGGAAAGUGCGGCCAUAGUGGGUGAUAGCCCUGUACGCGAAAGUCUCUUAGUCAUGAAAUCGAGUAGGACGGAGCACGAGAAACUUUGUCUGAAUAUGGGGGGACCAUCCUCCAAGGCUAAAUACUACUGACUGACCGAUAGUGAACUAGUACCGUGAGGGAAAGGCGAAAAGAACCCCGGAGAGGGGAGUGAAAUAGAUCCUGAAACCGUAUGCGUACAAGCAGUGGGAGCAGACUUUGUUCUGUGACUGCGUACCUUUUGUAUAAUGGGUCAGCGACUUAUUUUCAGUGGCGAGCUUAACCGAAUAGGGGAGGCGUAGCGAAAGCGAGUCUUAAUAGGGCGUCUAGUCGCUGGGAAUAGACCCGAAACCGGGCGAUCUAUCCAUGGGCAGGUUGAAGGUUAGGUAACACUGACUGGAGGACCGAACCGACUACCGUUGAAAAGUUAGCGGAUGACCUGUGGAUCGGAGUGAAAGGCUAAUCAAGCUCGGAGAUAGCUGGUUCUCCUCGAAAGCUAUUUAGGUAGCGCCUCAUGUAUCACUGUAGGGGGUAGAGCACUGUUUCGGCUAGGGGGUCAUCCCGACUUACCAAACCGAUGCAAACUCCGAAUACCUACAAGUGCCGAGCAUGGGAGACACACGGCGGGUGCUAACGUCCGUCGUGAAAAGGGAAACAACCCAGACCGUCAGCUAAGGUCCCAAAGUUAUGGUUAAGUGGGAAACGAUGUGGGAAGGCUUAGACAGCUAGGAGGUUGGCUUAGAAGCAGCCACCCUUUAAAGAAAGCGUAAUAGCUCACUAGUCGAGUCGGCCUGCGCGGAAGAUGUAACGGGGCUCAAACCAUACACCGAAGCUACGGGUAUCACGUAAGUGAUGCGGUAGAGGAGCGUUCUGUAAGCCUGUGAAGGUGAGUUGAGAAGCUUGCUGGAGGUAUCAGAAGUGCGAAUGCUGACAUGAGUAACGACAAUGGGUGUGAAAAACACCCACGCCGAAAGACCAAGGUUUCCUGCGCAACGUUAAUCGACGCAGGGUUAGUCGGUCCCUAAGGCGAGGCUGAAAAGCGUAGUCGAUGGAAAACAGGUUAAUAUUCCUGUACUUCUGGUUAUUGCGAUGGAGGGACGGAGAAGGCUAGGCCAGCUUGGCGUUGGUUGUCCAAGUUUAAGGUGGUAGGCUGGAAUCUUAGGUAAAUCCGGGAUUCUAAGGCCGAGAGCUGAUGACGAGUUGCCUUUAGGCGACGAAGUGGUUGAUGCCAUGCUUCCAAGAAAAGCUUCUAAGCUUCAGAUAACCAGGAACCGUACCCCAAACCGACACAGGUGGUUGGGUAGAGAAUACCAAGGCGCUUGAGAGAACUCGGGUGAAGGAACUAGGCAAAAUGGCACCGUAACUUCGGGAGAAGGUGCGCCGGUGAGGGUGAAGCACUUGCUGCGUAAGCCCACGCCGGUCGAAGAUACCAGGCCGCUGCGACUGUUUAUUAAAAACACAGCACUCUGCAAACACGAAAGUGGACGUAUAGGGUGUGACGCCUGCCCGGUGCCGGAAGGUUAAUUGAUGGGGUUAGCUAACGCGAAGCUCUUGAUCGAAGCCCCGGUAAACGGCGGCCGUAACUAUAACGGUCCUAAGGUAGCGAAAUUCCUUGUCGGGUAAGUUCCGACCUGCACGAAUGGCGUAACGAUGGCGGCGCUGUCUCCACCCGAGACUCAGUGAAAUUGAAAUCGCUGUGAAGAUGCAGUGUAUCCGCGGCUAGACGGAAAGACCCCGUGAACCUUUACUAUAGCUUUGCACUGGACUUUGAAUUUGCUUGUGUAGGAUAGGUGGGAGGCUUUGAAGCGUGGACGCCAGUUCGCGUGGAGCCAUCCUUGAAAUACCACCCUGGCAACUUUGAGGUUCUAACUCAGGUCCGUUAUCCGGAUCGAGGACAGUGUAUGGUGGGUAGUUUGACUGGGGCGGUCUCCUCCUAAAGAGUAACGGAGGAGUACGAAGGUGCGCUCAGACCGGUCGGAAAUCGGUCGUAGAGUAUAAAGGCAAAAGCGCGCUUGACUGCGAGACAGACACGUCGAGCAGGUACGAAAGUAGGUCUUAGUGAUCCGGUGGUUCUGUAUGGAAGGGCCAUCGCUCAACGGAUAAAAGGUACUCCGGGGAUAACAGGCUGAUACCGCCCAAGAGUUCAUAUCGACGGCGGUGUUUGGCACCUCGAUGUCGGCUCAUCACAUCCUGGGGCUGAAGCCGGUCCCAAGGGUAUGGCUGUUCGCCAUUUAAAGUGGUACGCGAGCUGGGUUUAGAACGUCGUGAGACAGUUCGGUCCCUAUCUGCCGUGGACGUUUGAGAUUUGAGAGGGGCUGCUCCUAGUACGAGAGGACCGGAGUGGACGAACCUCUGGUGUUCCGGUUGUCACGCCAGUGGCAUUGCCGGGUAGCUAUGUUCGGGAAAGAUAACCGCUGAAAGCAUCUAAGCGGGAAACUUGCCUCAAGAUGAGAUCUCACUGGAACCUUGAGUUCCCUGAAGGGCCGUCGAAGACUACGACGUUGAUAGGUUGGGUGUGUAAGCGCUGUGAGGCGUUGAGCUAACCAAUACUAAUUGCCCGUGAGGCUUGACCAUAUAACACCCAAGCAAUU
rnacentral:rRNA from 1 species